rnacentral:rRNA from 1 species
GACGAACGCUGGCGGCGUGCUUAACACAUGCAAGUCGAACGAUGAAGCCGGAGCUUGCUCUGGUGGAUUAGUGGCGAACGGGUGAGUAACACGUGAGUAACCUGCCCUUGACUCUGGGAUAAGCGUUGGAAACGACUUCUAAUACCGGAUACGAGCUAGGACCGCAUGGUCACUAGCUGGAACGAACUUCGGUCAAGGAUGGACUCGCGGCCUAUCAGUUAGUUGGGGAGGUAACGGCUCACCAAUACGACGACGGGUAGCCGGCCGGAGAGGGUGACCGGCCACACUGGGAAUGAGACACGGACCAGACUCCUACGGGAGGCAGCAGUGGGGAAUAUUGCACAAUGGGCGCAAGCCUGAUGCAGCAACGCCGCGUGAGGGACGACGGCCUUCGGGUUGUAAACCUCUUUUAGCAGGGAAGAAGCGCAAGUGACGGUACCUGCAGAAAAAGCACCGGCUAACUACGUGCCAGCAGCCGCCGUAA